GACGAACGCUGGCGGCGUGCUUAACACAUGCAAGUCGAACGGAAAGGCCCUGCUUUUGUGGGGUGCUCGAGUGGCGAACGGGUGAGUAACACGUGAGUAACCUGCCCUUGACUUUGGGAUAACUUCAGGAAACUGGGGCUAAUACCGGAUAGGAGCUCCUGCUGCAUGGUGGGGGUUGGAAAGUUUCGGCGGUUGGGGAUGGACUCGCGGCUUAUCAGCUUGUUGGUGGGGUAGUGGCUUACCAAGGCUUUGACGGGUAGCCGGCCUGAGAGGGUGACCGGCCACAGUGGGACUGAGAUACAGUCAAGUCUCGUACGGGGAGCAGCAGUGAGGAAUGUUGCACAAUAGGCGGAAGCCUGAUGCAGCAACGCCGCGUGCGGGAUGACGGCCUUCGGGUUGUAAUCCGCUUUCGCCUGUGACGAAGCGUGAGUGACGGUAAUGGGUAAAGAAGCACCGGCUAACUACGUG
rnacentral:rRNA from 1 species